rnacentral:rRNA from 1 species
GACGAACGCUGGCGGCGUGCUUAACACAUGCAAGUCGAACGGAAAGGCCCUGCUUUUGUGGGGUGCUCGAGUGGCGAACGGGUGAGUAACACGUGAGUAACCUGCCCUUGACUUUGGGAUAACUUCAGGAAACUGGGGCUAAUACCGGAUAGGAGCUCCUGCUGCAUGGUGGGGGUUGGAAAGUUUCGGCGGUUGGGGAUGGACUCGCGGCUUAUCAGCUUGUUGGUGGGGUAGUGGCUUACCAAGGCUUUGACGGGUAGCCGGCCUGAGAGGGUGACCGGCCACAUUGGGACUGAGAGACGGCCAAGACUCCAACGGGAGGAAGGAGUGGGGAAUAGUGCACAAUGGGCGGAAGCCGGAUGCAGCAACGCCGGGUGCGGGAUGACGGCCUUCGGGUUGUAAACCGCUUUCGCCUGUGACGAAGCGUGAGGGACGGUAAUGGGUAAAGAAGCACCGGCUAACUACGU